UACGUAGGGGGCUAGCGUUGUCCGGAUUUAUUGGGCGUAAAGAGCUCGUAGGUGGUUCGGUAAGUCGGAUGUGAAAUCUCCAGGCUCAACCUGGAGGGGUCAUUCGAUACUGCCGUGACUAGAGUUCGGUAGAGGAGUGUGGAAUUCCUGGUGGAGCGGUGAAAUGCGCAGAGAUCAGGAGGAACACCCGUAGCGAAGGCGGCACUCUGGGCCGAUACUGACACUGAGGAGCGAAAAGCGUGGGGAGCGAACAGG
rnacentral:rRNA from 1 species